rnacentral:lncRNA from 1 species
AAAUUUCUGCGCUGAAGUUAUAAACCAACUGAAUUUGACAUGAUUUUAAGAAUUCUUAGCCUGCGAAAAAAACAUGGCAUAUGGUGUGAUUGAAUCAAGGAGAUCGAAUCUGAUAAGCACAUUAAAUUGAUUUACUUGUUCAAUUAGGCCGAAAGAGACAGAGGAGAUGCUCCAUCGUCGGUGGUGUGUUACAUGCGAGAAGCGAAUGUUCCGGAAGACAUCGCUAGGAAGCACAUCAAGGAAUUGAUAAACCAGGAAUGGAAAAGCAUCAAUGCUUAUUGCUUCAGCAAUGCCGAGACGCCCUUUGUCCGAACCUUCAUUGAUGUCACCGUGAACGCGGCUCGCGUUGCGCAUAUGCUUUACCAGUUCGGAGAUGGGUUUGGCGUCCAGGACGGUGAUAUUAGGCGGCAAAUUUUAUCUGCAGUGAUCCACCCUCUCGCUCUUAACUGAGAUAGCGCAAGUGUAAUCACAAAGCAAGUGCGUAAGCUAGACUAGCUGCUGCCGGUCGAAGGAUUUGAGUACUCCACGCAAAUUGUAUCCCAUGCUGCAUAUCGCACAAAGUAACCAUGUGCGUAGUUGGCCUGAUCCACAUAUAUCGCACUAUGAAAAGAAAUACUCGAGAUCGUAAUAAUCUGACCCUUCUCAUCUUAUGCAACGUUGAAUGUUGUAAAUGGCCAGUAAUGGUACAUUAUUUUUUUGCUAGGAUAACAGUCUUUGGUUUACUUCGAAAAUAAUAACUUGUUGUGAGCUAUAAAUAUUUGAUGGAGUGAAUUUUACAACAUUUUAUAAUGAUUUGUUAUUUGAUUUUUUUUGUGAUUCAGAAUAGAUUGUUAUUCUCACAGGCUGUCACCAAAUCAUUUCUCAUUUGUAAACUUCUUCUGUUGCCACCUAAUCAAUAAAACUCGAAGCACACGCUUAUGUCCUUCUCUUGAAUUAGUAAAGCCUCGACCAUGCGUGAUUUGAAAAAUCUUGGUGCUCUCCGGAGGUUAUUUCCCAAGGAGAAAGUUCUUGUUAAGGCGAUAGAGUAUCUCGAUCUACUGUACUAGAAUUGGAUCAUCAGCUGAAUGUGGCCAUGUGACGUGUGGCCCGGCAAUGCAAUGAAUCGGUAGGUCCCCUGACUUUUCUUCAUUUUCAGGCCGUUGCAGUCGCUUAGCCAUCAGUGGACAUGUAUCUUCUUGAAAGGGGUAACCUGGACGCCCGUCGCAAUCCAACGUCAGAUCGAUGUGCAAAUGUUAGUGUGGCACGUCUCUCUCAUGCUCCUAGGACGAUUUUUUUACUUUAGUGCCGACACUCCCACGUGAUGCCCAGACUCAUUCCAACAUUAUCGGCAUGCAUUCGAGAUUAAUUGCAUAACCCCAUUAUUCUAACAAUGAGCAUGCUCUCUUUCAUUGUUUAGAGUGUUAGUUUCUAUCGUACGUCCAAAUCUAUGGAGUAAAACUUUGAGAAAUUUUGAAAGAAUCGAAAACAGUUUCCCGUAUUAUGUCUUGGAAACAUUCGAGAGCAUAAAUUGACAUCGUAUCUCAAAUGCUGAAAUGAAAGGGGAAAAAAGGGAAUGGGACAAAUGCGGAAUCAACACCUCAUUUUUAAAUGAAGAGUGUGAUGAAGAUGGCAUGUGAAUCGAUGCAUGAGGAAUUAUCCACAUGAAAUAAAUUUAAGAUGGAAUACUGCACCGAAACCAUGUUAUUAUAUGUUGAAUUGAAAAGAUUGAACUUUUACUUAAAGUGAGAUGAUAAGGCACGCAAAGAUUCAUUCAUAAUCCCAUAAAUGAGUGAUAUCACGAUCAUGUUUUGAUUAGAGAGAUUCCCAUUAUUUUGGUAGUGCUUUAAUUUUUCAGUUGAGACAAUUAAUGAUCGAUCGAGAAAAGUCAAAACUGACAAACUCGUUUUAUAUCAUUGUUGGUAUGAAAAUGAUUGAACUCUUGGAGUACGGUAUUUGCUUUAAUUGCGUACAUCAAUGGUCAGCGCGUGGUCAUCGACUCAAAUCGCCAUCCAUCGAAUGAAAAAUCACUAUAGACAAGUGACUAACAUGUAGACAAGUGACUAACAUUGCUCGUACGAGGUACGAGGUUAAAAGAUCAUAAACACCUGGAGAAGGUCUCCCGUCGGUGAAAAAUCACUAUCCACUUGUGACAUGUCUCACGUACUUUUUAGGUCCGUGCAUUUAUUCAUCUUGUUUAUUUAGCCUAAUAAGGUUUGACUAACGUUAUAGCCUUCUAAGUUUAGCAUAAUUAAUCACAGGUGUUGCGCCAGUAGCCACUUUUCUCACAUGAAAAAAGAGAGGUGGGAAGUUUUUAGGGAGUUGGGGAUGUGAACCUUUAGUUUCAAGUGUGGAAUUCGACUCCCAUACUCUAUAAAAAGACAUGACAAAAGUCUGAGAGUGUGUUGAGAGUUAGAAUAUGACAUAUAAGAAAAAAGUUUAGCAUAAUCAACAAACCAAAAAAAAAAUAAUAAUCAUUAAUUCCAUUAAUACACACUAACUCGUCAUGAAGAAAAUCCAUAUGUAUGUGUGCGUAUGUGGAAGGUAGAUUGAGUUAUUUUUGUAUGAAAACAAAGUUAGAUUAAAGAUUUUGAAUAAUUCAACUAGAGGGAACAUAGGCACAUAAAUCACAACAAAUUUGGCAUUUAAUAUCAUAGAGUAAAGCAUAGAAACUAAUUUUUCAAUCUAGUGGGAGGCAUGGAUCCUCUACUAGUUUCAUAUUGAAUCAUGCCAAGAAAUUAAUGAAUGAACAAGUGCAUUUUCUUGUGAAAGAACAUGAUAUCAGACAAUAAUAAUCUAGAAAAUUGAAAGGUAAAUGAGACAUCGAAUUUACAUAAUUCGGGGGUGUGAAUUACUUUUGGAAGAGAAGUAUCGAAUUUCAUUAUAGAUCUAGUGAAAGAAUGGACAUUACAAACACAUUUGAGUUACUCAAACGUUUUUAGUAGCUUGUAUAGUGUUUAGCCCUCACAAUUCUUAACGAAACAAUCUCUCAAUCUUACAAAAGAAUACACAAAACUGAUCAAUGACAAAAGGUUUCUCCAAUUUAGGUGCAAAAGUGAACAAAACUCACGAGAAGAAUUUUUUUACCCAUUCUUGGCACAAACCAAGGCACAAACCCCCCCCCCCCCCAAAAAAAAAAAAACAACAACAACAACCUAAUUAGAGAACCUAUAUUAAUCCCAGGAGACCGACUCCAAUACGAACUCAGGUUUCGUUCAAUGGUUUCAAUCUCAAGACAUAUUUAUCAACACAAACAAUGAUUAAUUGUGUACCCACUUUAUUCCCAACUGAUUUCUUAAAUUCGAUUUUUUAGCUAGACGAAUGUGGCUUGCGUUUUGCCAGAUAGGCAUUUGUAGACAUAUCUAGUUUGGUUUGGCCUUACCCCGAACAAGCUUCUAAGAUUUGGUUUCAAGAUAUUUUGACGUGCUCUCAACAUGUGGCCGGAGGCAGGAACUGGUACCGAGGUUGCCGUGUGGGGCUCGUCAUGAGAACUAAAUUGAAACAGUUGCUCUCAAGCCCCAUCAACACGGUGAAGAAAGUGUCGUCCCCAUAGAGGUACUAUGAAAUUGGAUGCAUAUAAGCCACUCAAAGCUCAUGUGUCAUUAUUCCUUGACGGUAAUAUCUUCUGAGUCAUCAGUCAUCGUAGUUCUAAUAUUGAGUAUUAUCAGCAAUUAUUCUCGGUUCUGUCNNNNNNNNNNNNNNNNNNNNNNNNNNNNNNNNNNNNNNNNNNNNNNNNNNNNNNNNNNNNNNNNNNNNNNNNNNNNNNNNNNNNNNNNNNNNNNNNNNNNGUCGCAAGCAAUUUUAUAUAUGUUUCUCCACAAACCUUGUAUAACGUGCUUUCCAAAGAUUCACAAUCAACCAAAGGGUAGCAAUUGCUCGAUCUGACUUUUAUGCAAUAAAAAUGCUCUUCUUGAUUCAAUAUAUAUACAUACAUACUUCAAGACAUGAUUUUAUAAAACCAAAGAAGAUAUAGUACCACUCACCUCGUCGUCGACGACCAAACGACGAACGAUACUCGUAUCGUCGAAUUCAAGGUCCUAUCAAAUAACCGAGAAAAAUGUUAAAAUCUAAUAAAACACUGUCUCUACUUCGAAACAACUAAAUUACGCCUUAACUCUAACAAAAGGACUUCUACGCGCUAACAAAUCGCAUAACCAAAGUGAUUGUUCAAGCCAUUCGCAACACGAAAUUUAAGUGCAAAACUUGAUUGCGCCUUAACUUUCUCUUCCGAACUCCGAUCCAAACGUACUUAUAUUCAAUAGAGAGCCCUUGAAACAUAUCACAAGAAUCCCGACUUGGCCAUCCCAAAAUCAAGCUGAAAAAUGACAAAAUACGGGCCCAAAGCUGCUGGACGCGUACUGUUCACUGCGCGUGGGAAACUUUGAAAUUCUGUUUUGGACAAACCAUAAGCUCAAAUCACGAUCCGUAAAAUCCCACGGCUCCACAACACCCUAAAUUACCAUUCUUGCAAAAAUACGCGGCUCAACGACUCCAAAAUUAGACUUCGCCGCUCAGUUUUCCAAAAUUUUCGAAUUUAAGUCCUAAAUCCAAAAAUUACUUCAAUCGGACAAACAAGGGGCUUGAUCUCUUACCGGGUGCUGUGUUAUGGAGUCGAGUCGGCUUGGCGAGGCAUCCGAGACGUGCACGUGCCAAAAUUCCUUUCCUUUUUUUCCCUUUUUCUCUUCUCCUUCCUCUUCUUCGUCUUUUCUUUCUUUUCUUUUUGGUCGAGGGAACUCUCAGCUUCUAUUUAGCCGAGCCCUCUCCCCUCUCCUUUUUGUUUUACUGACUUUUCAGUUUCUUUUUCAGUUUCUUCUUUUGGGGCCCACUAACAUAAUAUUACAUUAUUGCAUAAUAUUACAGAAGCAAAGUGGGACAAUAUGGGCUACACACCAUCGCUGGAAGAGUACUUGAGCAAUGCGUGGACAUCAUCUUCAGGACCACUGAUCAUGUCUCACGCUAGUUUCUUUGUGGGACAUAUGAAUUGGGAGGAUGUAGCAGAUUUGCUGGAGAGAAACAAGGAUCUGAUUUAUAAUGUGUCCAUGAUAAUUAGACUCUGCAACGACCUUGGAACGUCAACGGUAAUUAUCAAAUUUCUGCGCUGAAGUUAUAAACCAACUGAAUUUGACAUGAUGUUAAGAAUACUUAGCCUGCGAAAAAAAACUCGGCAUAUGGAGUAAUUGAAUCAAGGAGCGAAUCUGAUAAGCACAUUAAAAUGAUUUACUUGUUCAAUUAGGCCGAAAGAGACAGAGGAGAUGCUCCAUCGUCGGUGGUGUGUUACACGCGAGAAGCGAAUGUUCCGGAAGACAUCGCUAGGAAGCACAUCAAGGAACUGAUAAACCAGGAAUGGAAAAGCAUCAAUGCUUGUUGCUUCAGCAAUGCCGAGACGCCCUUUGUCCGAACCUUCAUUGAUGUCACCG